GGCAGAGGGAAGCCACCAAGGUGCCAUUGAGGAUUGGUGUCUGGCUCUCUAUGGGCAAGAGCGCCAGGGGACACACAGUGGGACCGGAACCUUCCAGAAUGUCUCCUCAGUCAGGGCCCUGUGCUAAUCACGAGUCUUUCCUGUUCAGAGCAGUGAGGCCUGAGACCCUCAACAGUGCUGUGUGUACAGAAGGCCCCCAGAAUCCACACAAAGGGGCCGCCUGAAACCUAGAGCAUUUGUGAAGGAGGAAAAUGGAAGGAACAACUGGAUGUUGUAAAUGUUUCUCAUCUGGCCUUAAAAUCCAUGAAAGCUGGAAAAUCACAAGGCAUCUGUGCACAUACUGGUGGAUUUUAAUGAGAGUCCUGUGUUUGGAGCACCAGAAAUAAACCAGCUUCAGAAGCAAAGGAGGAGGAAGCAGAGCUAGAGAUGGAAGGAGACCCAGCCAGCCCGGGCUCCAGUGACAUCGGCUGGUACACGCUUUUGUUUGCUUACGCUUGUUGAACUGAGUUUUUCAUAUGUAACUAACGAAUAGUGGCACAUGUGAGACUGGGCAUGAUUCAGAAAAGUUGGAAGAUCUAGAGAGGGAUCUUGCA
rnacentral:sRNA from 1 species